GGGCAGGGUAGCCUAGUGGUUAGAGUGUAGAGGUGGCAGGGUAGCCUAGUGGUUAGAGUGUAGAGGUGGCAGGGUAGCCUAGUGGUUAGAGUGUAGAGGGGGCAGGGUAGCCUAGUGGUUAGAGUGUAGAGGAGGCAGGGUAGCCUAGUGGUUAGAGUGUAGAGGCGGCAGGGUAGCCUAGUGGUUAGAGUGUAGAGGGGGCAGGGUAGCCUAGUGGUUAGAGUGUAGAGGGGGCAGGGUAGCCUAGUGGUUAGAGUGUAGAGGGGGCAGGGUAGCCUAGUGGUUAGAGUGUAGAGGAGGCAGGUAGCCUAGUGGUUAGAGUGUAGAGGGGGCAGGGUAGCCUAGUGGUUAGAGUGUAGGGGAGGCAGGUAGCCUAGUGGUUAGAGUGUAGAGGAGGCAGGUAGCCUAGUGGUUAGAGUGUAGGGGAGGCAGGUAGCCUAGUGGUUAGAGUGUAGGGGCGGCAGGUAGCCUAGUGGUUAGAGUGUAGAGGAGGCAGGUAGCCUAGUGGUUAGAGUGUAGAGGGGGCAGGGUAGCCUAGUGUUUAGAGUGUAGAGGUG
ensembl:lncRNA